CUUUAAUGAGUGUCUACAGCAUGUCCAGACCUUCUGGGAAGAAAUGCAAAACAAUUCAUGAUUAAUGUAAAUUUACAUUGUGAAAGUCUCUCUUUACUAAAGAAUUCUGGAAGAAAAGAAUAGUGAUGGGGAAGGAGAAAUAAAGGAAUUUGGGGUUUCUAACCCUGUCCCUAAUCCUCCAACCCUAACCUUAACUACUGCACCCGACUCUAACCCUCUAACAUAGCCAACUCUGCUUCAAAUCUAACUAUAAUGGGGCAGGUAGGUGGUGUAGGGGAUAGAGCACCGGCCCUGGAUUCUGAAGGACCUGAGCUCAAAUCCAGCCUCAGACACAUAACACUCACUAACUGUGUGACCCUGGGCAAGUCACCCAUUGCCUAACCAAAAAAAAAAAAUCUAUAACCCUAAAUUCAUGUCUCCAACUCUGACUCUAACCCUAAAUGCCUGACUCUAAGCCUAACCUUGAGUGCUUCUGGCUCUAAAACCCUAAAUGUGCAACUCUGACUCUCUUCAACUCCCAAUCUAUCCCUGACCGUACCCCUAACUCUGCCUUUAACUCUGACCCUAACCCUAACCCUUGAACUGUCACCCUAAUUUUGUGACUCAGACUCUUAACCCUAAUUUCAUACCCCCAACUCCAAUCCAAACACCAAAUUCACAUUACAUAAAAAUUGCUUUAUCUAGACUCUGCAGAAUGGUCCACUUAGUAAAGUUAAAUCUGUGUAUGUAGACCACUAUUAUAUAUAGAAUAUACAUAAAUAGAAUAAGUACAAAUAAAUGGGGAAAUAAAUUCAAAGGAAUGGCAGUGGGGAGACAAAUGGAGGAAAAACUUUGGGCAUUUACACUUUCUUCCCGUUCCCAUGAUCAGGGGCUGAGAAGACCACGUGAGGUAAGGGAAGAGCGGAGGGGGCGGGGCUCCAAGUCAGGAAGGGCAGGGAGGGCGGGGCAGGCAGGGAGGCCGGACCGCAUUCCAGGCCCAGAAGACACGGAAGACACCGAAGCCUCCAGACUACGAUUCCCAGAAGGCCUUGCUCUUCCCCCCCGGAAGCAUUUUCCAAAGCGAGGACGAAACUCCCCUCGGAUGUCAUUUUCACCCCGCCCUGUCUUCGCCUUUUCCUUACUUUGUGGUGGUAAUUUUCUUCCAUUCUGUCCUGAGCCGACCUGCGGCCGGCUCUCCCUUCUGUGGCCUCUGCUCUGCCCCAGGAGGACAGCCUGGAGGAAGAGGGAAUGGCUUCUGCCCUGACAGCCAGGCCCGGGAAGGAAACAGUCACAUCUCUUCUGGAGGGGGCAUUGUCUUUAGGACAAUAUCCUUCAGAGAUAAAACAGAAGAACAGAUAAACAGGAGAUACUUUCUGGAGGUGGGGAGAAGAGGGAAUACUUUCUGGAAAGGGAGAGCACUGAUCAUCCCCAGCAUCAGAGAAGGCUUCCUGGAGGGGGUGGUACCCAGGAAAAGGUCUGGAGGAAGAGGAGGACGCUGGGAAGAAGAGAUGAGGCUAUGGUGAAGUCCAGGCACAGACACAGACACGACACCUUCUGGAGGGGGAGAGCAAUGAUCAUCCUCAGCAUCAGAGAAGGCUUCCUGGAGGAAGUGGUACCAAGGAUGCUGGGAAGGGAUGAUGCCACAGGGAAGUCGGCAACAAGGACCAGACUGACACCAGGAGUUCAUGACCAAAGAGUCUCAUUAAGGGAAGGGCUGAGGUCCAGAGGGUCAGGACAUGCACAGGGGGUCAGGUGGUGAGGGCGUGUCUGCGGAGGGGCUUGCAUCCGACUCCACCCCGACUCCAAGUGCCCUCCCUGUUCCCGCCCACAUCCCUCCCCAGGCUCCACCCCCGCGACGCCGUAAGCCCGUGGAUGGCUUCCUUCUCCUCUGGCGGAAGCUCAAUCUAUGGUGCUCCCCAGCCAGCCCGUGCUGCUGCGGGGUCCCCGCGCCCCGCAUCCGGCUUCUGGCCAGGCCUGGCUCCGCUUUCGGCUGCCGCUCACCCCGUCCCAGGUCGGCUCAAGACAGAGAAGAAGAAGAAGCGAGCAGCAGGAAGAACGGAAAAGCAAAGAGCGCCAUCGGGAAGUGACAUUGGAGGAAGUUCCCACCCUCCAGCCAGAGACUUGGAAAAAUGCCCCUGGGGCGAGCAAUGCCUUCUGGGAAUUGUAGUCUGGAGACGGCUGCAUCUUCUGCGCAUGCCUGGAGCUCGGCCCUCUCCCAGGUCCGGAAUGUGGUCCUGAAUCUCCCUGACUGCAGCUAUUCCUCAGGGCACUUCUGGAGCGG
rnacentral:lncRNA from 1 species